CCUGGGGCCUGCGGUCAUAUAUAUAUUACAUAAACAAUAAAAAAAUAUUUCAACGCCAUCUUUUGCGUAUAUGCGCGAAUAAUACCUCAAAUCGAUGUAGUGGUAUGUCAUCCACUAUACUAAACGGUUUUUGGUUUUAUAAGUGACAGUGAUUUGAAGUAUUCUCAUUUCGAAGUUGACGGUGGCUGUGCGACGGCAAACACGUGAUUUUAUUAUAAUUUCCAAGGAUUAUAAGAUACUGAGAUCUACCAACACCUGGAUGAGUCAAAUAUUGACCUAUAUGAUGGACCUAUGGAGUUUCUUGCCGGUUCUUCUCCAUAGAUACUGCUUUCCGAAUCAGUGUUGUUGGCAGACCAUCUCGGGGACGCACAUGACGUGGACCAAGCUUAUGGGGAGGCUGACCGAGAGGAUGGAUUAGAAAUAAGACCUAGGGGUGGACGUGACAAUAUAAAUACACCACCACGCCGGUGCAAAAUACAUGAACUGGUCGUUUCUCACCCUUAAAAAUAACUAUCUAUGAACCAAGGUACAAAAAAUAGACACAGAACAAUGGAUAGAAUAAUAACUAUUUAGAUUCAAGUUUAAAAAUAUAUAAUAACUAAAAAAACAUGUAGUUUUUCUUCAUUUUCAUAAACUUAUUACACUUGGAACUGGGACCCCCUGUAAUAUAUACAUGACAUAAAGAAAAUCCAAGUUUUCCACGAAAGAUUUUUUUUACCAUUUUUUUGAAUAUCUAUAAUUGCAUUAGAACAGAUACAGCUAAUUUUUAUUACAAAAGAAAGAGAAAAAAAUCCUGGGUCUCAGGAG